GUUUGAGCGGCGUCCCAUGCGCUGUGGGACGGUCCAGAUCCAGGAAGUGCACGCGCUCAGAUAGCCCAAAUCAACACAAAGCAGAUGAGUGUCCUGCAGAAACCAGUUUUGGACUAGGAGGUUAUUGCGUGUACAACUGUGGCCCAAGAGAGAAGCGAGCAUCUGCUUCCAGAGAAAAGUGGUCAGUCAUCUGUGGUUAGCCCACUAAAGUCUCUUCCCUGAAAUGUUUGUCACUCUGUCUGUCGAAAUCACAACUGCUGGUUUGGGCCGCACCAUGUUCCAGUAGGCCUAUCAGACACUUAUGUUGUCAUCUGGGACUGUUUGGAUUGUUAGUAUUGUGCAGUCAGAGUGGCAUGUUUUAAACUUCCCAUUACAUACUAUAUGUAUGUAGUGGAAAUAAACGUUCAUUGAAAUGUAACAAUGUGUUCAUAUUACCCACCUAACGUUCUGAAACUGAAUUAUACGGAUGAUAGUGCGUUGACUUUCUGUUAUCCUUCUUUUUUACUCGCUGAGUGUAGCUGUCUAGCUCCACAUGGGACUGGAGAUAUGUGUAUGUGUGUAAGGCUCUGCUCUACAGGACUGUGUGUAAGGGUGGUAUAGUUAUGUCUAUCUGUUGCUAUGACGGCAGUCAUCAGCAGAGGCUGUGAGUGGGUGUAGGGUACAGUGUGCUGCUUAUCCUUGCUGACUUGUGUGCAUGGGUUUGUGCAAUUCGGACUGCUUCCAUUACUACAAAUGUGAAAUGUUUUAUGCUGAUCAAAUGAAUUUCUUAUUCAUUCAAUUUCAAAUUUAAUUCAAUAAAUCAACUCAUAAGCAGACAUGCAUUUACAUUUACAUGCAUGCUUUACAUUUGUUGUCUAUAAGUCAAGUCCCACAUAGUGCCCGUAAUACAGCAUGGAAAAAUAAAAAAUGACUUCCUGCCAUGUUCCAUGUCUGCACACCCCUUCCAACAUUAAAAAAAAGGUCAAAUAUAAAAUAAAACGAUAAAAAUAAAAUACAAAAAGUAAUAAAA